rnacentral:lncRNA from 10 species
GUAUAAGGUACAUGAUACAGUGCCUGACAUAUAGUGAGUUCUGGGUUCAAGUGUUAGUCUUAUCCUUGAGAAUCAUAAGCCUAAGGUUUAGAGUCUAGUUGAAAGAAGAGGAACCAAAGAAGGAGGAGGAUUUAAUGUGCUAGAACAGCAAGUACAGUACAGAAAUACAAUGGAACAAAGAGAUGUUGCCAGAGGACAAAAAUGUGCCGAAGA